UACGGAGGGGGCUAGCGUUAUCCGGAUUUACUGGGCGUAAAGGGCGCGUAGGCGGAUCGUUAAGUCAGAGGUGAAAUCCCAAGGCUCAACCUUGGAAUUGCCUUUGAUACUGGCGAUCUUGAGUAUGAGAGAGGUAUGUGGAACUCCGAGUGUAGAGGUGAAAUUCGUAGAUAUUCGGAAGAACACCAGUGGCGAAGGCGACAUACUGGCUCAUUACUGACGCUGAGGCGCGAAAGCGUGGGGAGCAAACAGG
rnacentral:rRNA from 1 species